rnacentral:rRNA from 1 species
AACUCCCCUUUAUAGUGUUAGCGGCGCCCGCGUGCGUAACACGUGCCAUAUUAUACCUAUAAGACUGGGAUAACUUCGGGAAACCGGAGCUAAUACCGGAUAAUAUUUUGAACCGCAUGGUUCAAAAGUGAAAGACGGUCUUGCUGUCACUUAUAGAUGGAUCCGCGCUGCAUUAGCUAGUUGGUAAGGUAACGGCUUACCAAGGCAACGAUGCAUAGCCGACCUGAGAGGGUGAUCGGCCACACUGGAACUGAGACACGGUCCAGACUCCUACGGGAGGCAGCAGUAGGGAAUCUUCCGCAAUGGGCGAAAGCCUGACGGAGCAACGCCGCGUGAGUGAUGAAGGUCUUCGGAUCGUAAAACUCUGUUAUUAGGGAAGAACAUAUGUGUAAGUAACUGUGCACAUCUUGACGGUACCUAAUCAGAGAGCCACGGCUAACUACGUGCCAGCAGCCGCGGUAAUACGUAGGUGGCAAGCGUUAUCCGGAAUUAUUGGGCGUAAAGCGCGCGUAGGCGGUUUUUUAAGUCUGAUGUGAAAGCCCACGGCUCAACCGUGGAGGGUCAUUGGAAACUGGAAAACUUGAGUGCAGAAGAGGAAAGUGGAAUUCCAUGUGUAGCGGUGAAAUGCGCAGAGAUAUGGAGGAACACCAGUGCCGAAGGCGACUUUCUGGUCUGUAACUGACGCUGAUGUGCGAGAGCGUGGGGAUCUAACAGGAUUAGAUACCCUGGUAGUCCACGACGGUACACGAUGCAGUGCUAGGUGUUAGGGGGUUUCCGGCCCCUUAGUGCUGCAGCUAACGCAUUCAAGCAUCUCCGUCUUGGGGGAGUACGAUCUGCAAGGUUUGCAACUCAAAGGCAAUUGGACGGGGCACCGCGCACUAUGCGGUGGAGCAUGUAGAAUUCAGUCUCCGAAGCAGCGUCGAACGCACCAUUACUAAUCGUAUGACAUUCUUUUGACUACUCUAUGAGCAUACGAGGCUUUCCCCUUUCAGGGGACAGUGACAUGGUGGAUGCAAUGACUGGUCAGUCAGGCUCGAGUCGUAGUUAUGCUUGGGUAGUCCGCA